UGAUGGUCUGAGUGCAGUGGUGUUUACAACUAAUUGAUCACAGCCAGUUACGGAUUCCUUUGUUCCUUCUCCACUCCCACUGCUUCACUUGACUAACAAAAA
ensembl:misc_RNA Y_RNA Y RNA